UACGGAGGGAGCUAGCGUUGUUCGGAAUUACUGGGCGUAAAGCGCACGUAGGCGGCUUUUAAGUCAGGGGUGAAAUCCCGGGGCUCAACCCCGGAACUGCCCUUGAAACUGGAGAGCUAGAAUCUUGGAGAGGCGAGUGGAAUUCCGAGUGUAGAGGUGAAAUUCGUAGAUAUUCGGAAGAACACCAGUGGCGAAGGCGACUCGCUGGACAAGUAUUGACGCUGAGGUGCGAAAGCGUGGGGAGCAAACAGG
rnacentral:rRNA from 1 species